rnacentral:rRNA from 1 species
AGGCUCACCAAGGCGACGAUCCGUAGCUGGUCUGAGAGGAUGAUCAGCCACAUCGGGACUGAGACACGGCCCGAACUCCUACGGGAGGCAGCAGUGGGGAAUAUUGGACAAUGGGGGGAACCCUGAUCCAGCCAUGCCGCGUGUGUGAAGAAGGCCCUCGGGUUGUAAAGCACUUUCAGUGAGGAAGAACGCCUGGUGGUUAAUACCCAUCAGGAAAGACAUCACUCACAGAAGAAGCACCGGCUAACUCCGUGCCAGCAGCCGCGGUAAUACGGAGGGUGCGAGCGUUAAUCGGAAUUACUGGGCGUAAAGCGCGCGUAGGUGGCUUGAUAAGCCGGUUGUGAAAGCCCCGGGCUCAACCUGGGAACGGCAUCCGGAACUGUCAAGCUAGAGUGCAGGAGAGGAAGGUAGAAUUCCCGGUGUAGCGGUGAAAUGCGUAGAGAUCGGGAGNGAAUACCAGUGGCGAAGGCGGCCUUCUGGACUGACACUGACACUGAGGUGCGAAAGCGUGGGUAGCAAACAGGAUUAGAUACCCUGGUAGUCCACGCCGUAAACGAUGUCGACCAGCCGUUGGGUGCCUAGCGCACUUUGUGGCGAAGUUAACGCGAUAAGUCGACCGCCUGGGGAGUACGGCCGCAAGGUUAAAACUCAAAUGAAUUGACGGGGGCCCGCACAAGCGGUGGAGCAUGUGGUUUAAUUCGAUGCAACGCGAAGAACCUUACCUACUCUUGACAUCCUGCGAAUUUGGUAGAGAUACCUUAGUGCCUUCGGGAACGCAGAGACAGGUGCUGCAUGGCUGUCGUCAGCUCGUGUUGUGAAAUGUUGGGUUAAGUCCCGUAACGAGCGCAACCCUUGUCCUUAUUUGCCAGCGCGUAAUGGCGGGAACUCUAAGGAGACUGCCGGUGACAAACCGGAGGAAGGU